rnacentral:rRNA from 1 species
AUUGAACGCUGGCGGCAUGCUUUACACAUGCAAGUCGAACGGCAGCGCCGGCUUCGGCCUGGCGGCGAGUGGCGAACGGGUGAGUAAUGCAUCGGAACGUGCCCUGUAGUUGGGGAUAGCGCGCCGAAAGCCGGAUUAAUACCGCAUACGACCUGAUGGUGAAAGCGGGUGACCGAAAGGCCUCGCGCUAUUUGAGUGGCCGAUGUCGGAUUAGCUAGUUGGUGGGGUAAAGGCUUACCAAGGCGACGAUCCGUAGCUGGUCUGAGAGGACGACCAGCCAGACGGGGAGUGAGACAGGGCACAGACUCCGGCGGGAGGCAGCAGUGGGGAAUGUUGGACAAGGGGGGCAACCCUAAUCCAGCCAUGCCGCGUGCGGGAAGAAGGCCUUCGGGUUGGAAACCGCUUUUGUUCGGGAAGAAAUCCUCUGGGCUAAUACCCCGGGGGGAUGACGGUACCGGAAGAAUAAGCACCGGCUAACUACGUG